UACAGAGGGUGCGAGCGUUAAUCGGAAUUACUGGGCGUAAAGGGUGCGUAGGCGGCUUGAGAAGUUAUCUGUGAAAGUCCUGGGCUUAACCUAGGUUGGACGGGUGAUACUGAUGAGCUAGAGUACAGGAGAGGGCGGUGGAAUUCCAGGUGUAGCGGCGAAAUGCGUAGAUAUCUGGAGGAACAUCGGUGGCGAAGGCGGCUGCCUGGUCUGAUACUGACGCUGAGGCACGAGAGCGUGGGGAGCAAACAGG
rnacentral:rRNA from 1 species